rnacentral:lncRNA from 1 species
AGACAAAUUAAAAAUAUCAAAGGUAUUUAUUAUGAAUAUACAAGAGUGCGGGAUACAUAUGCAUUACAAUAAAUAAAUACCAAUGUUAUUGGUGCAACAACAUAUCAUUCGUAUCAAUUUGACUAUAAGAACACGCCUAUGAAGAAUAUUACAUCAUAGCAUUUACAUCAAUUCGACCAAAGAAAAAGGUCUUGUGAAUGGCAUUACAUUUUUCAAUCUAUAAAUGUAAACUAUGGUUAUUGCUAAGUAAAAUCUUCUAGUUUUAUAUGCUUCAUCCAAUCGGAGAACUCAGCUGCAACUCAAUUAUCCUUCUUUUGGAUCUGUAAAAGAAAACUGGACCUUAGAGUUAUGUGAUUAAAUGUACACAAAUAUAAUUUUAGAAUCUGGAAGAAAAGACUUCAACUUACAAAAGCUCAAGGCCAUGCAAUUAAGUAUCCUAAAGCAAAAGCAACAACAAUUCUCUUGCAAUCAUAAACUUACCUUACUAACUCCUCGUUAUCCGGAAUAGGCUCAUCCAUGCACACAAGUGCAAAUUCGGGACUUAAGUCAAUAGCACCAACCUUAGUUUCUAGAUCACCACUCCAAAUAGUAGCAUAUGCAACAUUACAUUUGUUUGAAUAUGUUAAAUUCUUUAAAACUACUCUCUCUGUAAAGAAAUAUAAGAGCGUUUAGAUCACUAAUUCAACGCUCUUAUAUUUCUUUACACAGGGAGUACUUUGGAACUAACCUAUAUUAUGAUCAAUAUUAUCAUUCAACGGCAAUGACAAAAGAAUUUGCAUGAACAAUGUGUCAAUGGUGCACAUGGUCAUAGUUCAAGAAAAUUGUGAUGACCAUUCAGUUCGCUAGGUAUACACAUUCAAGUGGCAAGUGGGACUAAUAGAGGGAUGCCCACAUUGCACUCAUGUGUUAAGCGGGUGUUCGUGGGCAGCCGGCAAUAAACUUGUUGUCUUUGCUUGCCCACAUAAUGCCAUUUAAUACCACAUAGUAAUAAAAUGAUCCGCUAUUGUAAUAAAGAGUAUAAUAGUCAACACGCGGCAGAUGUGUGGUAAGUAACCACAAAAAAAAUGAGUUCGGACAAUUCUACUUAGCUCUUGUACAAAUCAAUACUAACUUAUUGUAUUUGGACAUUAGUUGAACACGGCAACACAAACAACUAUCAAUCAGGUCACUACAUGAGCAAGCACAUGCAAAGUGGCCCCCGGUGCAAAAAUUUCAGAGUGGCAAAGCAUAAGCAUACUAUUGACAAAUCAGGAGCAGAGCAUCUGCGUAGUGUUGUGUGUGUGUGCUUGUUGUUGUGUUGGGCAUGUGUGUGUGUAUGUGCUUUCUAGUACCUAACCAAAGUACUCGCAAGAUGUUUUCUAACAGCAGACAUUUCCAUGGCAAAGUUAUAAAGAAUAUAAACAUUCUAUGUGAAUUAUCAAUGAGCGCGUCCAUAUGACUACAUAAACAAAUACCUGGAACCAGUAGCCAUCAUUACAGUGGCUUUAAGCAACAUGGAACUGAAUGCAUAAACCCUUGAGGUGUCGACACUAACCAUGCUCCCCACAAACAUUUUGUAAGAGUAAAAUGAUAAAUAACUUAAGAUGGAAAUAGAUGUACAGCCAAGAGCUACAGACUAUAAGCACGCAGUGAAACAUAUAUUCAACAAAUUUGGAAUUAAAUGUAUAACCUUUUUUGCGCAUAAUGUAACCAGGGUGGAUACUUGGUGAAAGGUGAUGGAGUCUUACAUUUACCUAAAUAAAAAGGUAACCCUGAUGGGUACUUGGUAAAAAGUGAUGCUAUCACCCAUUGGAUUAUAUCAAACUAGCAUAUGAGAUUGAGACACAAGAAAUAUAAUAAUUAAAGUGAAAUAAACAGACAAGCUUCUACUGUAUUAUCAUACUGAUAAUUGGGAUAUACUACACUAAAAUAAUCAUACAUUACUAGAACCCUUACCAUGAAAAGCACUAUGUAUUACACCUACAUUCCCUGUCAGUAAAGUACAUGUCCGUGUUGCUCUUCACAAUUUCUACUACCCAAUUUGACACUCGGUAGACAUAUUUAGCUGAAUUAAAAAAUCGCACAAGUAUUCGGGUAUGUAUGUAUAUGUGCCAGUUUGAGACUGUGCGAGUAUGUAUGGAUAUGUGAUGGGUAUUCGGGUAUGUACAUCUCGACCAUGGGCAGGAACACGUACGUACUAUUAUUAUUAGCAGGAGAAUCAAUUAGCAGCGGGCAUGUACCCUCAAUGUCGUCCUCGCAUCUUGCUCCUCUUGGCACUAGUACACAAACAAGCAAGCAGCCUGCUGGAUGGAUUAUUGUGGAAGGUAGCUUACAUAUGGAUGGAUUCCUCGUGGAUGAUAGCAGAUGACGAGGACCGGUGGCUCCUAGGGCGGGAGGUGCGCAUGGUCCAUGCGCUAGUUCUGCUCAAGCCGCUUCAAUUCUUCAUGGCCGCCCGGAGGAAGGGAUGGCUAGCUGCCGACGGCCCCGGCUAGAUCUGCCCAGGACUCCGGCGGCUGCGCGCUCCUCAUGGCCGCCUCCUCGGGCCUCCUCGAGCCUGGUGGGGAGGAGGGAACGACCCUGGGGCCGAGGGUUGCGUUGGCGACCUACAGAGAAAGGGGCGAGCGGCGACUGCGGCAUGAGGCCUUCAGGCGACUUGCGGCGGCGGCUUGCGGCGUGGUAUGCGGUGGCUUCGAUGGGUAGGCUGCGUGUGAAGGGAUAAGGAGAGAGAGGAGAUA